AGUGAACGCUGGCGGUAGGCCUAACACAUGCAAGUCGAACGGCAGCACAGUAAGAGCUUGCUCUUACGGGUGGCGAGUGGCGGACGGGUGAGGAAUACAUCGGAAUCUACUUUUUCGUGGGGGAUAACGUAGGGAAACUUACGCUAAUACCGCAUACGACCUACGGGUGAAAGCAGGGGAUCUUCGGACCUUGCGCGAUUGAAUGAGCCGAUGUCGGAUUAGCUAGUUGGCGGGGUAAAGGCCCACCAAGGCGACGAUCCGUAGCUGGUCUGAGAGGAUGAUCAGCCCCACUGGAACUGAGACACGGUCCAGACUCCUACGGGAAGCAGCAGUGGGGAAUAUUGGACAAUGGGCGCAAGCCUGAUCCAGCCAUACCGCGUGGGUGAAGAAGGCCUUCGGGUUGUAAAGCCCUUUUGUUGGGAAAGAAAAGCAGCAGGUUAAUACCCCGCUGUUCUGACGGUACCCAAAGAAUAAGCACCGGCUAACUUCGUG
rnacentral:rRNA from 1 species